AACGGACGCUGGCGGCAGGCCUCAAACAUGCAAGUCUAGGGGGUGCAGCAAUGCAUCACCGGCGGACGGGUGCGUAACGCGUGGGAAUAUACCUUUUGGUUCGGAACAACUGCGGGAAACUGCAGCUAAUACCGAAUGUGCCCUAACGGGGAAAGAUUUAUCGCCAAAGGAUUAGCCCGCGUAGGAUUAGCUAGUUGGUGAGGUAAUGGCUCACCAAGGCUCCGAUCCUUAGCUGCUGAGAGGAAGAUCAGCCACACUGGGACUGAGACACGGCCCAGACUCCUACGGGAGGCAGCAGUUGGGAAUCUUGGACAAUGGGGGAAACCCUGAUCCAGCCAUGCCGCGUGAGUGAUGAAGGCCUUCGGUUG
rnacentral:rRNA from 1 species